rnacentral:lncRNA from 1 species
GUUAUGGCAUCACGUCAGAUAUUAUGUUAUAUUCAGCUGUUUUUGUUUGGAAUGUGGAAAAAAAGUUAGUGACCAUUGGCCCGGCGGCGGUUCGUGAUCAGUAUUUCGGCUCCGACUGUGUACCACAGGGUGAACCUAUAUAUUCCUCGCCUUGUAAGAGGCAUACGCCGUUGCGCGAUAGCGCGACAAGCAACAGUAGCAGUACUGGUGUGUACGUUUACUGUUCGUGGGAAAAAAAAAAGUGAUUGGUUAUCGUCGCGUGCAGCGCGAGGCAUCGCGUACACCGGUUGCCAGUAGGAGGACAGGUAAUCUAGACUUUUGCCCCAAUAUAUCAUAGCACUAGAGGAUAUAUAGAUUAUACUUAGUGUAUUUUAUAUUUAGGCUUUUUUUCAAAUGUUGUUUAGUGAAAUAUACUAUAUCUUAUAUGAUUGUGUAAAUCUCUCUUGGCUUAGAUUGAUCAUUUUGUCUUCCCAAAUCAAAUGAUCUUUUUCAAAUUUUGUUAGGCAAAAUAAUAUUUAUUCAAAAAACAGAACUUCUAAUGAAAUUAUUUUGUAGAGGUAGCAUAAUAGAUCACUUGAUGGUUUUAGUACUAUUGCUGUUAUUAGCCCCUCUAUUAAUUUAAUCUAAUCUAAAAUGUCUAUACA